rnacentral:rRNA from 1 species
UCCGGUUGAUCCUGCCAGAGGUUACUGCUAUCGGUGUUCGACUAAGCCAUGCAAGUCAUAUGUUCUUCGUGAACAUGGCAUACUGCUCAGUAACACGUGGAUAACCUGCCCUUGGGUCUGGGAUAACCCCGGGAAACUGGGGAUAAUACCGGAUAACGCAUAUGUGCUGGAAUGCUUUAUGCGUAAAACGGAUUCGUCCGCCCAAGGAUGGGUCUGCGGCCUAUCAGGUAGUAGUGGGUGUAAUGUACCUACUAGCCAACAACGGGUACGGGUUGUGAGAGCAAGAGCCCGGAGAUGGAUUCUGAGACAUGAAUCCAGGCCCUACGGGGCGCAGCAGGCGCGAAAACUUUACAAUGCGGGAAACCGUGAUAAGGGAACACCGAGUGCCAGCAUCAUAUGCUGGCUGUCCAGAUGUGUAAAGUUCAUCUGUUAGCAAGGGCCGGGCAAGACCGGUGCCAGCCGCCGCGGUAACACCGGCGGCCCGAGUGGUGACCGUUAUUAUUGGGUCUAAAGGGUCCGUAGCCGGUUUGGUCAGUCCUCCGGGAAAUCUGAUAGCUUAACUGUUAGGCUUUCGGGGGAUACUGCCAGGCUUGGAACCGGGAGAGGUAAGAGGUACUACAGGGGUAGGAGUGAAAUCUUGUAAUCCCUGUGAGACCACCUGUGGCGAAGGCGUCUUACCAGAACGGGUUCGACGGUGAGGGACGAAAGCUGGGGGCACGAACCGGAUUAGAUACCCGGGUAGUCCCAGCCGUAAACUAUGCUCGCUAGGUGUCAGGCAUGGCGCGACCGUGUCUGGUGCCGCAGGGAAGCCGUGAAGCGAGCCACCUGGGAAGUACGGCCGCAAGGCUGAAACUUAAAGGAAUUGGCGGGGGAGCACAACAACGGGUGGAGCCUGCGGUUUAAUUGGACUCAACGCCGGACAACUCACCGGGGACGACAGCAAAAUGUAGGCCAGGCUGAAGACCUUGCCUGAAUCGCUGAGAGGAGGUGCAUGGCCGUCGCCAGUUCGUACUGUGAAGCAUCCUGUUAAGUCAGGCAACGAGCGAGACCCA